GGAUGAACGCUGGCGGCGUGCCUAAUACAUGCAAGUCGAACGAAUCUCUUUUAGAGAUGAGUGGCGAACGGGUGAGUAAUACAUAGGUAACCUGCCCCUGUGCGGGGGAUAACAGGAGGAAACUCCUGCUAAUACCGCAUAGCCAUGAGCACCGCAUGGAGCUCAUGCCAAAUAUCCUUUAUGGGAUAGCACAGGGAUGGACCUAUGGCGCAUUAGCUUGUUGGCGGGGCAACGGCCCACCAAGGCAACGAUGCGUAGCCGGCCUGAGAGGGCGGACGGCCACAUUGGGACUGAGACACGGCCCAGACUCCUACGGGAGGCAGCAGUAGGGAAUUUUCGGCAAUGGGGGAAACCCUGACCGAGCAACGCCGCGUGAGCGAAGAAGGCCUUCGGGUCGUAAAGCUCUGUUGUAAAGGAAGAACGGCGCAUACAGGAAAUGGUAUGCGAGUGACGGUACUUUACCAGAAAGCCACGGCUAACUACGUGCCAGCAGCCGCGGUAAUACGUAGGUGGCGAGCGUUAUCCGGAAUCAUUGGGCGUAAAGAGGGAGCAGGCGGCCGCAAGGGUCUGUGGUGAAAGACCGAAGCUAAACUUCGGUAAGCCAUGGAAACCGGGCGGCUAGAGUGCGGAAGAGGAUCGUGGAAUUCCAUGUGUAGCGGUGAAAUGCGUAGAUAUAUGGAGGAACACCAGUGGCGAAGGCGACGGUCUGGGCCGCAACUGACGCUCAUUCCCGAAAGCGUGGGGAGCAAAUAGGAUUAGAUACCCUAGUAGUCCACGCCGUAAACGAUGGUCACUAAGUGUCGGGGGUCAAACCCCGGUGCUGCAGUCAACGCAAUAAGUGACCCGCCUGAGUAGUACGUUCGCAAGAAUGAAACUCAAAGGAAUUGACGGAAG
rnacentral:rRNA from 1 species